ensembl:lncRNA
UUGAACUUUGUCUUAAUCAAGGAAUCCAGAAAAAAGAAAUCAAUAUUAUGGGUUCCACAAAAAACUGCAGUUUUUAAUAAGAAUUGUUUCUUGAACAAAUCAGGAUGAACUCAGGAUACAAGAGGAGAACAUUGAACAUUUCCAUCGCAGAUCUUCAGAGAUCCAGGAGCUGCUGCAGAGUCGCGAGCUCCCACUGGAGCUACAGGUGAUUACACACACCAGCAACUUUUCACAAUGCUAUUUUUUUUUAAUUAAUGCUAGACAAUGUGUAAUGACAUUUGUAUGCAGAAAUGAUGUGAUAUACAGUGGUAAACCUAUAUAUAGUUAUAGGUAAAGCUCAUGUAUUAGUAUUAACCAGGCUAGCACAUUGACCACUCUUUAAAUUUCAGCAAAUUCACUAUUGUUUGUUUUUAAAGGUGAUUGAGAGCCAGCUGAGGAAGAAGAUGGAAGAGGUGAAGGAGCUCUUUUCUGAGACCAGUGAUGUUUUUAGUCAGCUGGAAGCUGCCAAGGGGAAGGUGGCAUCUGAUAUUGCAGAUCACCUGUCCUCCAUUCAGACUAUUACAAAUGCACUGACCACAUCUGAGAGCCCACUGGUCCUCAAAACAAUCCAGGUGAAUGUUUAUGCUUUAAGACUAAGCUGAGAACAGAUUCAAAUGCAAUGCAGCAGUGUAGUGAAGUUCAGUUUUGGCACGUUUUGAUCUACUGUACUUGUUUUUUUAUUUUUAUUUAUUUAAACCUUCAAUCAGUUCACCUAAAUAUUUUUUUGAUGAGCUAACCCUUUAAUGCAACCAUUCUGGGUGGCAGGGCUUAUCGGAGCAGUUGCAAGCGGAAGCAGAGCAGGCAGAUGCAUUACUGCAGCAGAUAAGUCUUCUGGCCAGCAUUGCAGGUCUAGAAAACCUGCAGACGCUGGCUGAAGAUGGAGCUCACCUUCGAGAACGCAUCUGCAUGGCCAGAGAGCUGGUCAUAGAGAAGAGAGAGCAAGCAAUUAACCCCAAUAGACCUGAAAAUCAAAUGGUCCAAGACCCUAAGCACAUCAAGCCCUUGAUUGAAAAAACAGAAGAUGCUGCGCCAGAGAUACAGUCUGAAACUAAUGGUAAAACAGAGGAACAGUCAAAGACACAAGAUGAGCUGAAGGACUUCAAAGAGCAGGCCUGCAGCUGGGCCAGUGAACUGCAUCUGAAGGUUUCUGAGGAUGUGAACAGAUGGGUAACACCUGAGGAGAAACUCACAGCAGUGCAGGAUGUGUGUGUUGAUCUUGGUCAGAGUAUGACUGAGGAGCUGAAGUGUGCAAUGUUAAUACAACAGAGCCACGAGGGUCUGGACUCUCUACAGGGUCGGAUAGAGGGCAGCUCUAAUGACUCGAAUGCAUUAAAGGUAAAAGAUGCAGCCAAAAACCAGUCACUCACAAUCAUACAUGCUCAAAUGUAAAAUACUGUACCACUAACUUACACUUUUGCUUUGUUUUAGAAAUGUAUUCGUUACUAACUCCUCAGCAGGGUUAUAGUUUCAUCGUUUUCAUAUUAGUCAUUUUCAAAAGUGUUGAAUAUUUUUC